AUAGAUGCAAGAUUUGAAGGCUGCGUUGAGGUGGUCGACGACACGUAUGUGACCAACCCUGCCGGUGACUGCCCUCGCACUCGGGGCCCGUGCACGACGCCUUUAUGUGGAAGACAUCCACCGUGAGCCAGGACUGGGCAGUGGACGCCGUGGCCAGGUGAUAGUGCAUACUCGCUUCAACCUUGGCUGCUUAACCCCAUCCCUGGAGCACAUCCUGCAGAAUCCUCUGCUGCCCGAUUCCACCACACCCACUCUUCACUGCGGUGCGUCGUAUAACUGUGCACUGGAGUCCUCAAGGCCCACUUUCGGUGCUUGCAGAGGU